GUUUCUUGUUUAAGAGUUUUAAAAAUUUUUGCUUACAACAAAAAAUUUUUAACUCUUUAAAUAAAUUAGUUUUUGAAUUU
rnacentral:tRNA from 1 species